rnacentral:rRNA from 1 species
UACGUAGGGGGCAAGCGUUGUCCGGAUUCAUUGGGCGUAAAGAGCGUGUAGGCGGCCAGGUAGGUCGGUUGUGAAAACUGGAGGCUCAACCUUCAGACGUCGACCGAAACCAUCUGGCUAGAGUCCGGGAGAGGAGAGUGGAAUUCCUGGUGUAGCGGUGAAAUGCGCAGAUAUCAGGCAAGAACACCCGUGGCGAAAGCGGCUCUCUGGAACGGUACUGACGCUGAGACGCGAAAGCGUGGGGAGCGAACAGG